CCAAUAAUUUGGUUUGUGCGUUGUGUUUGUUGUGGUUGUGCUUGAGGAACAGAAUCAGAAGGUGUGCGUGUGUCAGCUAUGGCUUCUCAGCUCCUAAGACGAUUCCUCGGAAGCCGCUCUCUGGGAAACCCUAGGGCUUUCUCUUCCGCAUCAACUCCGAUCCGUGCCACUCUUUUCCCCGGCGAUGGUAUUGGUCCCGAGAUCGCUGAAUCCGUCAAACAGAUAUUCAAAUCAGCUGAAGUGCCAAUAGAAUGGGAAGAGCACUAUGUAGGGAAUGAAAUUGACCCCAGAACGCAGAGCUUUCUGACAUGGGAAAGUUUAGAAUCAGUAAGGCGAAAUGGGGUCGGCUUGAAAGGGCCAAUGGCUACCCCUAUUGGAAAAGGGCAUCGUUCACUAAACCUUACUCUUAGGAAAGAACUUAAUUUAUAUGCCAAUGUUAGACCUUGUUACAGCCUUCCUGGCUACAAAACUCGAUACGAUAAUGUAAAUCUCAUCACGAUCCGUGAAAAUACGGAAGGCGAGUACAGUGGGCUUGAACAUCAGGUUGUGAGAGGUGUAGUAGAAAGUCUAAAAAUCAUCACACGUCAAGCAAGUUUAAGGGUGGCUGAGUAUGCUUUUCACUAUGCCAAGGCACAUGGAAGAGAGAGAGUGUCUGCUAUACACAAAGCCAACAUUAUGCAAAAGACUGAUGGUCUUUUCCUCAAGUGUUGCCGAGAGGUUGCAGAGAAGUAUCCUGAGAUAACGUACGAGGAAGUUGUCAUUGACAAUUGCUGCAUGAUGCUUGUGAAGAAUCCUGCACUUUUUGAUGUGUUGGUGAUGCCUAAUCUUUAUGGGGAUAUUAUCAGUGACCUUUGUGCUGGCUUGAUUGGAGGAUUGGGCUUGACACCAAGCUGCAACAUUGGCGAGGGAGGUAUUGCACUUGCUGAGGCUGUACAUGGUUCAGCACCUGAUAUUGCUGGAAAGAAUUUGGCCAAUCCAACUGCUUUGCUGCUGAGUGCUGUUACAAUGUUGCGCCAUUUGAAUCUCCAUGACAAAGCAGACCAGAUUCAAAAUGCCAUCCUCAGCACAAUUGCAGAAGGGAAGUACCGAACUGCUGAUCUUGGUGGCAGUUCAAAGACAUCUGAAUUUACAAAUGCAAUUAUUGAUCAUCUUUAAGUUAUGCUUUGGAGCCAUGAAGAAAUUGUUGCUUAUGAUUUUGUUUUCAGUCAAUUUCCUUUUAUUUCCCCAAUUUUUCCAGAGGAAUAGGAUUACCUCAGCUUAAUGGAAAACUCAUCUACAUGUCAUCUACGUGUGUGACAUUACAACCAAAGAUAAGGAAUGGGCAAGCAUUCGAAUUUUCGCUGCUCACUGCGGUCUUAUGGCAUUGAGAGGGGCAUACCCUUCAAAAUAUGCAUUUAUUGACAAUCCUCGGCUGAUGUUUGCUUACUUUAUUUAUAAAAAAAAUCUUGUUGAAAAUUGUGGCUCGUUUGUGUAUCUUGGGCUAUAUUUAUAUACGAAAUCACGGAUGGAAGAAUGGAAUAAAAUUACCCUAUCA